GCUUUGAUCCUGGCUCAGGACGAACGCUGGCGGCGUGCUUAACACAUGCAAGUCGAACGAUGAACACCGGAGCUUGCUCUGGUGGGAUUAGUGGCGAACGGGUGAGUAACACGUGAGCAAUCUGCCCUUGACUCUGGGAUAAGCGUUGGAAACGACGUCUAAUACCGGAUACGACCUCUCUUGGCAUCAAGCGGAGGUGGAAAGAUUUAUCGGUCAAGGAUGAGCUCGCGGCCUAUCAGCUAGUUGGUGUGGUAACGGCUCACCAAGGCGACGACGGGUAGCCGGCCUGAGAGGGUGACCGGCCACACUGGGACUGAGACACGGCCCAGACUCCUACGGGAGGCAGCAGUGGGGAAUAUUGCACAAUGGGCGCAAGCCUGAUGCAGCAACGCCGCGUGAGGGACGAACGCCUUCGGGUUGUAAACCUCUUUUAGCAGGGAAGAAGCGCAAGUGACGGUACCUGCAGAAAAAGCACCGGCUAACUACGUGCCAGCAGCCGCGGUAAUACGUACGGUGCAAGCGUCGUACGGAAUUAUGGGGCGUAUAGAGCUCGA
rnacentral:rRNA from 1 species